rnacentral:rRNA from 1 species
AUUGAACGCUGGCGGCAGGCUUAACAAAUGCAAGUCGAACGAGUGGCGGACGGGUGAGUAAUGCUUGGGAAACUAGCUUAUGGAGGGGGAUAACUACGGGCAACUGUAGAUAAUACCGCGUAACACAGGGUGAGCCCAAGUGGGAUUAGGUAGUGGGUGUGGUAAAGGCUCACCAAGGCGACGAUCUCUAGCUGGUCUGAGAGGAUGACCAGCCACACUGGGACUGAGACACGGCCCAGACUCCUACGGGAGGCAGCAGUGGGGAAUGUUGGACAAUGGGGGAAACCCUGAUCCAGCCAUCCCGCGUGUGCGAUGAAGGCCUUCGGGUUGUAAAGCACUUUUGGCAGGAAAGCGUUACCUGCAGAAUAAGCACCGGCUAACUACGUGCCAGCAGCCGCGGUAAUUC